rnacentral:lncRNA from 1 species
GGAGGAACAGAUGGGGGGGACUGAACCAUAGAAGUGAGAGAGAGGGGGGAAGGGGGAGCCUCAUUCAGAACAGCUAGUGUGCAGAGCAGAGCAGGGAAGAACUUAUGUGGUGUGGGAAAGUAAAUAGUGCAGGAUAUUUCCAGUCUACUCCGCCUGAGGCUGGAGCCCUAGCAGCUUCAAAAGCAGACAGUGUGAUAAGUAUGAGGAACCUGUCAGUAUAGAAGCAGGACGUUCAUGGGAAGUAACAUAAAUAGUCCACAGGGAGUAACUGAAGCUUGUUAGUGGAACUACUGAGGACAGAAGAGCUUAUGUCCUCUGUGAUGCCUCAGCCACAACAGAGGGAGGAAGGGGAGGAGGAAGAUGAAGAGCAAGGGGAGAAGUUCGGGUUUGUCGACAGUGCUGAUGAAGAGAAAGAGCCAGCGGAUUGUAAAGACCCUGUCUCACACUCUGUAAAAGCCAGUCAAAAAUCAAACCAGUCAUUUAAGGAGGCUACAAACCCACCACAGGACAACACACUAACACCCACUGCACACUCACAACAGCACCUCAAUGCAAUGCCCCCUGCUGGUCAGGAGGAGGCUCCCUCCCAGGGACAAUACUCCACAGCCUCUCCAGAUGUUCCAGUUAGCGACCCACGCAGGCGGUAAGAGACUCCCUGCUUUUCAUAUGCUAUCACAGUAUGUGGGAA